GACGAACGCUGGCGGCGUGCUUAACACAUGCAAGUCGAGCGGUAAGGCCCUUUCGGGGGUACACGAGCGGCGAACGGGUGAGUAACACGUGGGUGACCUGCCCUCAGCUCUGGGAUAAGCCUGGGAAACCGGGUCUAAUACCGGAUAUGACUCCAUGACGCAUGUUGUGGGGUGGAAAGCCUUGUGCGGCUGAGGAUGGGCCCGCGGCCUAUCAGCUUGUUGGUGGGGUGAUGGCCUACCAAGGCGACGACGGGUAGCCGGCCUGGGAGGGCGACCGGCCACACUGGGACUGAGACACGGCCCAGACUCCUACGGGAGGCAGCAGUGGGGAAUCUUGCGCAAUGGGCGAAAGCCUGACGCAGCGACGCCGCGUGAGGGAUGACGGCCU
rnacentral:rRNA from 1 species